rnacentral:misc_RNA from 1 species
GACUUCUCCAAAUUUGCCUUUCCUGCAAUACUCUGAAACAUAGAUGAAAACCAUCCCUUCUUCUUAGUAUCAGGCUUGCUCUCUUUCCCCACUUCCUCACUUUCAUCCUCACUGUCACUACUAAUAAUCUCUUCUUUGUCCAUCAUGCUUUCACCAUGAUCAGUUGCCACAACCUCUAUAUUCUCAUUCCCGUUCUCCACAGGAUCUGUAAAGUCCAAUUUCGAAUCUUGAGGUGAAUCAUCCCAUACUCUAUUCUUUUUUGUUACCUUUUUCUUUGGGUCCACAUCCACCNNNNNNNNNNACUAACAACAGUAUUAGUUUUCUUUCCACCUUUACUUUUAAGCUUCUGAAGCUUGCUUACAUCAAAA